rnacentral:SRP_RNA from 1 species
GCUGGGCGCGGUGGCUCACGCCUGUAAUCCCAGCACUUUGGGAGGCCGAGAUGGGUGGAUCACCUGAGGUCAGGAGUUCAAGACCAGCCUGGCCAACAUGGUGAAACCCCGUCUCUA